rnacentral:lncRNA from 10 species
AUAGCUGAGCCUGUCCGGCAGUGCGGCGGAUGUACGGAUGAUUCAGUGGCUGGCAGGAAGCCCGCCCUGCCCGCCCGCCAGUGUCAGUGGUGUUGGCAUCAGCUUGGGCAGGUGUGCGGGCUCAGGAUGGGGCGGCCGUGGUGAGGAACCCUGGACUCUCAGAGAUGGAAUUUCACCGUGUUGCCUAGGCUGGUCUGGAGCUCUUGAUCUCAAGCGAUCCUCCCUGCCUCGGCCUCCCAACGUGCUGGGAUUAUAGGCGUGAGCCACCGCUCCUGGCCAGGGUCUGUUCCUAGUUGCAACAGUUCUUGGAAACCCACUCGAGAGGGCCACGCCUCCAUUCACCAGGCCACGGUGGGUGGUGUGCGUAUGUUUUGCUGAGGCCUGGUCAUCACGCUGUGGCUCCAAGGCUGGGACCAGCCACAGACCGAGAAGCCGGUCAGGUGCCAGCCAGAGAUUCAGGGCUCCCUCCCUCUGAACAUCCUGUCUUUAGCCCAUCCUUGGCAUCCCAGCUCAUGUCAUCCCAGCCACCUGCAGCAGUGCCCUAGGGCCCCAUCCCUCUGCGGAUCAUGCUCUUGGGCCACCUCCUCCAAGAAGCCUUCCCUGACCUCCCUCCUCCCA